GCUUUCGUGGUGUAGUGGUCAGCACGCUCGACGCGUAUUCGAGAGGUCCGUGGUUCGAAUCCCGACGAUGGCA
rnacentral:tRNA from 1 species